rfam:Gossypium hirsutum cultivar TM-1 chromosome 24, whole genome shotgun sequence
UGUUAGAAAUUUUAUCUAUUUGUACUAUUAAAAACUGGUGUGGUUGAUGAAAUAAUCAUAAAGUGACACAUGGCGUGUCAUAUAUACCUUGUGCUGUCGUACAAUGAUCAGAUUUUAACAAUAGAUUUUGAUGUAAUUUUUAAAA